GAUGAACGCUGGCGGCGUGCCUAAUACAUGCAAGUCGAGCGAAGCGGGGACGGGUGCGUAACGCGUGGAUACACUCCUAUAAGACUGGGACAACUUCGGGAAACCGGUGCUAAACCGGCUAUUUGUAGAUGGCUCCUCGCUGCAUUAGCUAGUUGGUAAGGUAACGGCUUACCAAGGCAACGAUGCAUAGCCGACCUGAGAGGGUGAUCGGCCACACUGGGACUGAGACACGGUCCAGACUCCUACGGGAGGCAGCAGUAGGGAAUCUUCCGCAAUGGGCGAAAGCCUGACCGAGCAACGCCGCGUGAGUGAAGAAGGUCUUCGGAUCGUAAAACUCUGUUAUUAGGGAAGCGGUACCUAAUCAGAAAGCCACGGCUAACUACGUGCCAGCAGCCGCGGUAAUAC
rnacentral:rRNA from 1 species